rnacentral:rRNA from 1 species
UAAUACGUAGGCAGCAAGCGUUGUUCGGAGUUACUGGGCGUAAAGGGUGUGUAGGCGGUCCUGUAAGUUUGGUGUGAAAUCUCCCGGCUCAACUGGGAGGGUGCGCCGAAAACUGCAGGGCUAGAGUGCGGGAUGGGAGAGUGGAAUUCCUGGUGUAGCGGUGAAAUGCGUAGAUAUCAGGAGGAACACCGGUGGUGUAGACGGCUCUCUGGACCGUUACUGACGC